rnacentral:tRNA from 1 species
UGGGAUGUCGCCAAGCGGUAAGGCACAGGACUUUGACUCCUGCAUUCGUUGGUUCGAAUCCAGCCAUCCCAG